GUGAAUCAUCAAAUUUUUGAACGCAAAUUGCACUUUCUGGUAUUCCGGAAAGUAUGCCUGUUUGAGGGUCAGUUAAAUCAAAAUCGGAGUUGUUGCUGCUUUUCGUGGUGACGCGUCGGAAUUGAGUAGUCUUACCUUCGGUUAAGUGACUUAAAAUUUUGAAUGACUUUCGACCGUUUGUAAUUUUCUUACGUACGUUUGAGAUAUCGAAUACUUUAUUCGGUUCGGUCAUUCUUUUGA
rnacentral:misc_RNA from 1 species